UUGUCUGGUAGAAUUUGGAUAUAGCAGGAGUUAGAGUGACUGCCGUGGAACCCAUCCCUAUGCGUACCAAGUGCGCCGCCGCCAGAUGAAUGAAUCGGGUGCGCUGAUUGGUGCAGGAUGCUGUCUACAAAAGGAUUUAUUCCAUGAUGAGCAGGAUGUGUACCGUAGCUAAAGGGUAAUUAGCCUUUUACUAUUGUUUUACAAAAGUGAUCGUACAGGUAUAGCAGCACUAUAUCACAA